rnacentral:sRNA from 1 species
CUAAGGCCCUCACUCCAGCUUCCUUGCAGAAGGAAUUAAACAAUUUGUUGAAAUUUAAUCCUGAUUUUGCUGAAGCGCAUUAUCUCAGCUACUUAAACAACCUCCGUGUCCAAGAUGUUUUCAGUUCAACACACAGUCUCCUCCAUUAUUUUGAUCGUCUGAUUCUUACCGGAGCCGAAAGCAAAAGUAAUGGGGAAGAGGGCUAUGGCCGGAGCUUGAGAUACGCCGCUCUGAAUCUUGCCGCCCUGCACUGCCGCUUCGGUCACUAUCAACAGGCAGAGCUCGCCCUGCAGGAGGCAAUUAGGAUUGCCCAGGAGUCCAACGAUCACGUGUGUCUCCAGCACUGUUUGAGCUGGCUUUAUGUGCUGGGGCAGAAGAGAUCCGAUAGCUAUGUUCUGCUGGAGCAUUCUGUGAAGAAGGCAGUACAUUUUGGGUUACCGUACCUCGCCUCCCUGGGAAUACAGUCCCUUGUUCAACAGAGAGCUUUUGCUGGGAAGACGGCAAACAAGCUGAUGGAUGCCCUAAAGGACUCCGACCUCCUGCACUGGAAACACAGCCUGUCAGAGCUCAUCGAUAUCAGCAUCGCACAGAAAACGGCCAUCUGGAGGCUGUAUGGCCGCAGCACCAUGGCACUGCAACAGGCCCAGAUGUUGCUGAGCAUGAACAGCCUGGAGGCGGUGAAUGCGGGCGUGCAGCAGAACAACACGGAGUCCUUUGCUGUUGCACUCUGCCACCUCGCAGAGCUACACGCGGAGCAGAACUAAAGACUGAGGUCCUGGGAGCUAAAUCCUGUAUCCAACACCUGUAAAUGUCAGAGGCAGGUCUCCAACCGAAACCUGGUUGACUCCAAAGAAGAGCAGUGGGAAUGGGACAUAAUCUUGAUGACUUACAGCCCAAGUAAUUUGACGAGAUUCUCUUUAUAAGGGAUCAAUUAAAGUAUCUCUUCUGCUACUGUAGGCUUUAUCUUCCCUUUAUUCAAAAUAUCUUCUUUCAUGGGAAAGAGUCAGGGAAAGCUAUUUUAUCUAAAGCCCUCCAUCUCAGUAAACAC